rnacentral:misc_RNA from 1 species
UACUUCUUGCAAGAAGUCAGCCACUCCUUUUCUUUCAGGGCACUUGAAGCCCAUGAAUUCAAAAAACUCAAGUACAUGUUCACGAGGGCCCUGAUACACAAUCUGGCCUUCAGAGAGGAGAAUAAUGUCAUCAAAUAGAUCAUAAGUUUCUGGUGCUGGCUGGAGGAGAGAGAUGACAGCUGUUCCAUUAAGAAUUUGAAUAUACUGCUUUAUCGAGUUCACAAUUUGGAAAGUAGUAGAACUGUCCAAACCGGUAGAAAUCUCAUCCAUGAACAGUGCUUUUGCUGGUCCAACCAGCAUCUCACCUGUUGUAACACGUUUCCUUUGUCCUCCAGACACACCCCUUAACAUUUCAUUCCCCACCAUAAUAUCUGCACAGACUUCUAGUCCUAAAACCUUGAGAAUAUAGUCGGUGAUCACACUUGUCUCCUGACCUUCUGUUGCUAUUGCCUUCAUGAAGACAUCAAGAUCAGAAUCAGGCUUAAUGUUUGAUGCUUUCUCUCUUCGUAUUAACUCUGUUAACAUCUCAUAUCGGUGUCCAACCCCGUGGCAUCUCGCAGAAAAGGCCAAGGUUUCCCUCACAGUCAUUUCUCCAAUAUGGGUAUCAUAUUGGCUGAUAUAGGCAGCUGUUCUUUGGGGCACAAACUCAUUCAUCCCAUGACCAUUGUAAGUCACUCUACCAGAAAACUUUAGUUUGGGAUCAAGUUUUCCAGCCAGAGCCAAAAGAAGAGUGGUUUUCCCAGAACUUGGAGGACCCAAAAGCAAUGUCAUUCUUCUUGGUUUGAUGAUUCCACUAAUGUCCUGAAGGAUAGAGAGGCGUUUCUUUCUACUUGGAAGGAUAUGAAGAUUAUUCAAGAAACCCUCUACUAUGUCAACAGAGAAGUUAAUGAAUGUGGGUAAAGCUCUGCUUCCAACAUGAGCUUCUGUUUCAAUAUUUAGAUGCUCGAAUCGGACUUCAAUGGUGGGAAGUUCAAUCCCAACCCUAUCAGUGCGAUUCUUUAGCUUCAACAAGAACCUCUCAUUAUCUUCUUCCGCGACUUUCACCAGCCUAUCGACCAAAGUCCUCCUUUCUAGAAAUCCAAGAUUUGCUACAGCGAUUUCGCUGGCCUCACCUUUCGAUGUUGUUAAUAUGCCUUUCUUCAGUCGAUCGUAGGUAGGUAGUCUCUCAAGAGCAGCCCAUUUCAGAGCCUCUUCGUCAUCUUCUUCUCGUGAAGACUUGGAGAAAGUAUCCAUGGCAUUGCUUCUCCAUAUAGAAGAGCUUCCUCUUCUGAAACUAGCACCGCCUAUAUAAAUUUCAGCACCUUCCAUUGACGAAGCAGUAGCUAGCGCUUAACAAGCUAAAAGCUAAAACCCACCAAAACCCAGAUUUGUUUGUUUGUUUGUUUUGUAUCUGCUUUGAAAUUUGAUUCAAGAAGAAAUUGGAAUCCAAGACGCUUGUGUUAUAGUGGUAGAGGAU